rnacentral:rRNA from 1 species
CUUACACAUGCAAGUCGAGCGGUAAGGCCCUUCGGGGUACACGAGCGGCGAACGGGUGAGUAACACGUGAGCAACCUGCCCCUGACUCNGGGAUAAGCGGUGGAAACGCCGUCUAAUACCGGAUACGACCCGCCACCUCAUGGUGGAGGGUGGAAAGUUUUUCGGUCAGGGAUGGGCUCGCGGCCUAUCAGCUUGUUGGUGGGGUAACGGCCUACCAAGGCGAUUACGGGUAGCCGGCCUGAGAGGGCGACCGGCCACACUGGGACUGAGACACGGCCCAGACUCCUGCGGGAGGCAGCAGUGGGGAAUAUUGCGCAAUGGGCGAAAGCCUGACGCAGCGACGCCGCGUGGGGGAUGACGGCCUUCGGGUUGUAAACCUCUUUUACCACCAACGCAGGCUCGAAGUUCUCUUCGGGUUGACGGUAGGUGGGGAAUAAGGACCGGCUAACUACGUGCCAGCAGCCGCGGUAAUACGUAGGGUCCGAGCGUUGUCCGGAAUUAUUGGGCGUAAAGAGCUCGUAGGCGGCGUGUCGCGUCUGCUGUGAAAGACCGGGGCUUAACUCCGGUUCUGCAGUGGAUACGGGCAUGCUAGAGGUAGGUAGGGGAGACUGGAAUUCCUGGUGUAGCGGUGAAAUGCGCAGAUAUCAGGAGGAACACCGGUGGCGAAGGCGGGUCUCUGGGCCUUACCUGACGCUGAGGAGCGAAAGCAUGGGGAGCGAACAGGAUUAGAUACCCUGGUAGUCCAUGCCGUAAACGUUGGGCGCUAGGUGUGGGGACUUUCCACGGUUUCCGCGCCGU